rnacentral:tRNA from 1 species
UCCCUGGUGGCUCAGACAGUAAAGCGUCUGCCUGCAAUGCAGGAAACCCAGGUUCCACCCCUGGGGCGGGAA